rnacentral:lncRNA from 1 species
GAAAAAAGAUAAACCCAAUCUUUUCCUCAGUAACUUGGGUAAAGAAAAAAUGUGAAUUUGGGCUGCAAGACAAAGUCUCUGCAUGCUGAUAAUUUGCAAUAGUCCAUGUGAGCAGAAAGUACUCCAUUCAGCAAAGUCUUAUUUUUAUUUUUGCUUUUGUGUUCUUUUUUCAGAAAAUAUGCUUUUUGAAAGGCUUAAUUCCAAACUGAUCAUAAAUGUGGACCAACAACCAGCACCCACACCCAAUGAAAUUAGUUAUUCACCAUAAUAUGGUAAGGCUAGAACAUAGCACUUGGUGACUUAAACAUCAAGGUAACAUUUAUACUGUUGGAAGGUACUUUCACUGCUAUGUUAUUAAAACAGUGGGGAUCCUCUUAGUUUGCUACCAUACUGUCCCCUAUAUUGAUUCAACCUGUAAAUAGCAUAACACAUUAUGGCAGCUAAGCAAAUAUGUUAAUAAGCCAUGAGAGGCAAAAUGCCAUUGAAGAUCUGUAUAUUCAGCUAUUUGGAGAACUUGUGUUUUCCACAAAUUAAACUGGAGAUGUCAUUUGAGAUUUUCUUCCCUUAAAAAUGCCAUUAUAAUUUGGAUUCCUUGCCAUUGAUGUAUUUCUGGGCUUAUAAAUAUAUGAUGUAAUUGCUAUAGUUAUAAUUUUGUGAAAUUUU